rnacentral:rRNA from 1 species
GGUUAGCGGAGAAAUUCCAAUCGAACCGGGAGAUAGCUGGUUCUCCUCGAAAUAGCUUUAGGGCUAGCCUCAACGUUGGAGAGUAUCGGGGGUAGAGCACUGAAUGGGCUAGGGGCCUUCACGGGUUACCGAACCUUAUCAAACUGCGAAUACCGAAUACUUAUAGUUGGGAGUCAGACUACGUGAGAUAAGUUUCGUGGUCAAAAGGGAAACAGCCCAGACCCACAGCUAAGGUCCCAAAGUUCAUGUUAAGUGGUAAAGGAUGUGCCGUUGCACAGACAACCAGGAUGUUGGCUUAGAAGCAGCCACACAUUAAAAGAGUGCGUAAUAGCUCACUGGUCGAGUGAAGGUGCGCCGAAGAUUACCGGGGCUAAAACAUGACACCGAAGCUUGGGAAUUAUGGUAACAUAGUUGGUAGAGGAGCAAUGUAUGCGGGCAGAAGCCGUACGCGAGAAAGGGGCGGUGGACUGCAUACAAGAGAGAAUGCCGGCAUAAGUAGCGAGAGAGGAGUGAGAAACUCCUCCGUCGAAAGCCUAAGGUUUCCUGGGGAAGGUUCGUCCGCCCAGGGUAAGUCGGGACCUAAGUCGAGGCCGAAAGGCGUAGAUGAUGGACAACUGGUAGAUAUUCCAGUACUACCGCACAGUUCGAGGCAGGGACACAGAAGGAUAGUCAGACCGUGGGGAUGGAAAACUACGGCUAAAUCAUGAGGCUAGUGAGUAGUGAAGUACGCUCACUGUAAGGCUGGGUGAUGAAUGGGACACGAAAGAGUGGAAGCUGACGAAUUCACGCUGGCGAGAAAAUCUGCUAAGGCGCGCUGUGAGGUACCCGUACCGCAAACCGACACAGGUAGGCGGCAAGAGAAUUGCAAGACGAACGGGAUAACCACUGUUAAGGAACUCGGCAAAAUGACCCCGUAACUUAGGGAGAAGGGGAGCCUCGAAAGAGGUCGCAGUGAAAAGGCCCAAGCGACUGUUUAUCAAAAACACAGGUCUCUGCGAAAGCGCAAGCUGACGUAUAGGGGCUGACGCCUGCCCGGUGCCGGAAGGUCAAGGGGAAGUGUUAGGCAUAAGCCGAAGCACAGAACUUAAGCCCCGGUGAACGGCGGCCGUAACUAUAACGGUCCUAAGGUAGCGAAAUUCCUUGUCAGGU